rnacentral:rRNA from 1 species
GUCAUGGCUCAGGAUGAACGCUAGCGGCAGGCCUAACGCAUGCAAGUCGAGGGGCAGCGGGGUUGAAGCUUGCUUCAAUUGCCGGCGACCGGCGCACGGGUGCGUAACGCGUAUGCAACCUACCCAGAACAGGGGGAUAACACUGAGAAAUUGGUACUAAUACCCCAUAAUAUAUUGGAAGGCAUCUUCCGAUGUUGAAAACUCCGGUGGUUUUGGAUGGGCAUGCGUUGUAUUAGCUGGUUGG